ensembl:snoRNA SNORA62 Small nucleolar RNA SNORA62/SNORA6 family
CACGCACACUGUUAAAACCUCACACUAAUGUUGGUGUUAAGGUGUCGGAAGUGUGCUAGAGUGAUUCAGCCGGGAUUUCGCUAACACCAGUAGGGCUGUUACGCCCCUUGACUGGAGUUUGAUAGCAACCUGAGCUACAUUU